GGAAUAUUGGGCAAUGGACGCAAGUCUGACCCAGCCAUGCCGCGUGGAGGAUGAAGGUCCUCUGGAUUGUAAACUUCUUUUAUCUGGGAAGAAAUCCAUAUUUUCUAAUGUGGUUGACGGUACCAGAUGCAUAAGCACCGGCUAACUCCGUGCCAGCAGCCGCGGUAAUACGGAGGGUGCAAGCGUUAUCCGGAUUCACUGGGUUUAAAGGGUGCGUAGGUGGGCAGGUAAGUCAGUGGUGAAAUCUCCGGGCUUAACUCGGAAACUGCCGUUGAUACUAUCUGUCUUGAAUAUCGUGGAGGUUAGCGGAAUAUGUCAUGUAGCGGUGAAAUGCUUAGAUAUGACAUAGAACACCCAUUGCGAAGGCAGCUAACUACACGAUCAUUGACACUGAGGCACGAAAGCGUGGGGAGCAA
rnacentral:rRNA from 1 species